AUGAGUGUAUAACCAACAUCUCUGGGUGUUCCCACAUCUGUAAUGAUAUCAGUGGUAGCUUCUACUGUACUUGUCCUGAUGGCUACAAACUGACAACAGAUCUCAAAACAUGUGAAAGUUGCAGUGUAACCAACACCUGGGGAGCUAACUGUACCACCCCCUGUAACUGUGGGGUGGGGGCCUCCUCAUGUGACCCCCUGAUUGGCUGUCGCUGUCUGCCAAAAUAGACGUAACUCUGUUUGAACUAUACAUCAAUGAAUGUCUGACCACCCCGUGUAAUGUAACACAAACAUGUGUAGAUACUGAAGGUUCCUAUAUAUGUCAAUGUGAUUCAGGAUAUUUUAGAGUAACCAAAAUGGUGGAUGUCAAGAUGUUGAUGAAUGCAGCAAUGGCCUGCACAAUUGUCAGCAACUGUGUACAAAUACAGUAGGAAGCUACAACUGUUCCUGUAGACCUGGAUUUGAGCUGAAGUCAGAUGGCAUCUCCUGUCAAGAUGUAAAUGAGUGUGCAACUAACAACCACAA